UCGCCGCGGGAAUACGAAGGGUGCAAGCGUUAAUCGGAAUUACUGGGCGUAAAGCGUGCGUAGGCGGUGAGUUAAGUCUGCUGUGAAAUCCCCGGGCUCAACCUGGGAAUGGCAGUGGAUACUGGCUCGCUAGAGUGUGUCAGAGGAUGGUGGAAUUCCCGGUGUAGCGGUGAAAUGCGUAGAGAUCGGGAGGAACAUCAGUGGCGAAGGCGGCCAUCUGGGACAACACUGACGCUGAGGCACGAAAGCGUGGGGAGCAAACAGGAUUAGAUACCCCCGUAGUCCCUGUCUCUUAUACACA
rnacentral:rRNA from 1 species